AACCAAAGAAAGAAAAAAUUGCCCUAAGAGU
rnacentral:piRNA from 1 species